UAUUCGUGACAUUCGUGCUGAAACUGCCCGAAACAAAUAAUGUAAAUGUUUGUGAUACCAAGAUUGUGGAACACAAUCGUUAUCUGAUUUUGAUGAAACGUAAUCAAAUACAUUGCUAUAUCUUUUAUUGUGGAUAAAAUCAUCCAAACAGCUUCCGGUACAGGAAUCCUACGUAUGACACAAGUCCAGAACAGCCAACAAAUGACCAGAUUUUAUAUGGUAAUGAUAACUUGGUGAAAAAUCAGCAACAGAUUAGAGACAAUCAGACUAUGGAAAUACUAGAGAAUGAUCUGUAUAUUAGUGCUGAUGAUGAUCCUACACCAAAUAAAGUUGAUCACAGAGACAAUAAUCAAAUGGAAAUAAUGGAGAACGACCUAUAUAUCAGCGCUGAAGAUGAAACGAAUCCACGUGGAACAGGACUACAGGAUGAUGAAAUGGAAAUACUGGAGAAUGAUCUUUACAUCAGUGCUGAUGAUGACACAAAAACCGAUGGAAUAGAAACAAAACCAGCAAUGGAAAUACUUGAGAAUGAUCUGUAUAUACCUGCUGAAAUAGACACUCGUAUAUUUUAAGAUAAUAAACAGAAUCCUACUGAAUAAACCCGAGAUAGAACGUUAAUAUGAGACCAUUACCAAAUCUGAUCAACUCAGUUUAAUUUAUUUAUGUUAAUUUCGAAUUGUUCAGCCCAACUUUUAAAAACAUUAAAGUCGGUUCGGGGGGAAAUAGUCA